UUAUGUCUCGAUUUGCUAAGAAAACUUGAUGUCCCGAUCUGCCUGACUCUACCUUUGACUCUUCCUCACAACAACAAAUACGCCACCGGAAAUACGUCACCAUAGGGUGGGGUGCUAAUCUGUCUGCAUGCAGCGCCAUGACAUUUACCCAGGAAUUAUGGGAACAUAAUAAACUCUUAAUCAAAGAGGCAAUGACUUCUGCACAGAAUGGAGAGAGAUGCAUCCGAGUCUGGGUCCUGCCUCUGACUAACCAAUGACUGACAGCCAGCAGUCUCUCUGCCGUAACCAUGGUGACACCUGGUCUCUCAUGGACUCAACACUUGGAGACUUUAAUUGGAGUUUACUGAACUGAAUCAGAGUUCCUAGAAUUAGAGUGGCUUGAAUAGAUGAUAAAUUUAAAGAGAGAAUGAGAGAGGAAAAUAAAAGAUUUGAAUGGGUUUACAAGGCAAGAAAGUUUGAGUGUGUGUUUAAUGGCCACAGAAGAGGAUAAUGGAAAACCUGAGGUCAUGAGUGUUGUCAUGGCGAUAAUGAUGGAGGGAAAAGAUCAAAAGAUAUCUGGCAUGGUGGUGUGGCAUUCUGCGCUCGUGAUGAUUGGUUGAUUGUGCAUUGUAAUAUCUGCUGGUUUGUCACGGCAAACACAUUCGUUAAUAUUUAAAGAUGAUAAUGUGCCAAAGCAGUGAGCAGUGCAUGCUGGGUAACACAGAAAGCAUGGGCCACAGGGCUUCUCCUGGUUUGAGGUGGCAGGCAGCGCUGGAUUAAACCCCCUCCAUUCCUUCCAGAUCUUUCUUUCCUUCUGUAAACUGUUGUUUAGUUAUAUCUGGAUUUUGGUUUGCUAUGCAAAUUGUACAGUGGCCCAGUAGUGCACAAUAAAAUCUCCACAAGACAACAAAAUCUUCACCACACAACAGAAUUAGCACAACACACAGAAACAAGCCACAGAAACAAAAUAAGCACAACACAUUGAAAUUAACACAACACACAGAAACA